UUAUGAGAUAGCUGAUAACUAGGUUGUGGCACCAUGAAAAAUGGUCUCCAACCAAGUGUGACUGAGGAUGUGAGGGCGAUCUGGCUAUGACACCUGUCACCCCAUUGAUCGCCAAGGUUGAUUCUGUUGAUCUGGCUGCUAGGUCAACAUUGCCUUCCUCCCUCACAGCUCCAAUGUGCUUCUCUCCCGAAGUUGCGUGCUCAGUUGAAGAGGAUGACCUUCCCUGAAUAGUGGAGGAUCAGUCUUCAGUCAAGGGUAUACGAGUAGCUCCCCUGCUAGAACCGCCAAACAAGCUCUCAAGGUCCAAGUGUGAAUGAAUGUAAUAGGUUCACACCCUGGUGAGUACAAAGCCCAACCAAAAUGGACACGAAAUUUAAGAAGUGAAAAGACCUUAUCUGCAGCAGGCAAGGGUGUAUGCGAAUCCUUUCAAUGCAUGUCCUCCCUGAAUAAAUGAAGCCUGGGAUUUUAUUAGGGGAGUCUAUACCUAUUCACAGUGGUCAACAGUAAAGCAGCAGGCACAUUCCUGAGCAAGCUCUGUUCAAGUUCAGAAGGAAAGAUGCUAGACACAUUCUGGGCAUGCUUAGAACAACUUAAUUGAGCACAUGUUGAAAAGGUUAAAAUGGUGGGCUUUGGCAUCUCUGGGGAUAUUCAGCUUAUAGCAUAAAGAUUUAGUUAGCAGAAAGCAAUAGAAAGGUCACUUUGAUAGUCCAUUAAUGUAAGAAAUUGCUCCUAAAAAUACUUGCCUUGCUUUGCAGCUUACACAAGGAGCAUCACAUGUCCCUCCAUGGUUUGGAAAGCAGCUGUUUUUUAAGCUUGAGGGAACACUGGCUGACAUACCGAACACCAGAUCCAGAGCCAGCAAGUGGUAUAUAUAAACCUGGAGAUGGCCCAGCAGUCCACACACCACUGAACACUAGGUAAAAUCCUGAGGUGACUAAGGAAUGGAGAGCUAAGCCCAUUAUCUCUAAAGAGUGAAAAGGACCUGCUGUGAUGGAAGCUGCCUUACUGAACACAUUUCCAUGCUGGGAGAAGGCAGAAAACCAUGUUGCCCAAAGGAUUCUACUCCGGAACUAAGCAGUGGUGAGUGGUCUGCUAACACCUGGGAAAGGCUAGAACAUUUCCUUUUUUAGAUUAACCCCCAAAUAAAGGCAGAGCUUGACUGCCA
rnacentral:snRNA from 1 species